UAGUUUGCUUUUAGAGCAUAGUUUUGAUUGAAUUAUGUUUAGCAAAAUGUAUGUGGCAAUCAAAAGACUAAACACAUUCAUAUUGCAUUUUUUUCGCAACGAUGGAGGAAUGCCGUCAUUUGAAAGAAUAAGCUAUCUUCAUCUAAAGUCUAAUGCGAAGAGAUGCAGCUUGCUUUGUGUGGUUUUGAGUUGACAUUUAAAAUGAAAUGCCUGAACCGAGAAAAUUUAUUAGUAUUUAUACGCUAAACAUAAUUGACCGCGCGAUUUUCAUCUACUUAUGACGGCACUGUAAGAAAAUGGUAUGGUCAAGAGGCCUGAUUGCAGUUCUUAAAUAAGGAGACAUUCAUCAAAAGUUUAAUGAAAAUCGCUCAGCCUGAAGAGCAUUUUCAAGACGCAUGAAAGCGAAAGAGAACCGCAAGAUUACAUAUAUAAAUAGUCACUAGCUAUAGAAGUAUUCAACAGAAGUUUGACGGAAAUUAGUA